rnacentral:tRNA from 1 species
GGGUGUAUAGCUCAGUUGGUUAGAGCAUUUGCAUGACACGCAAAAGGUCCGUGGUUCGAGUCCACGUACACCCA